GCUUACGGCCAUACCACCCUGAGCGCGCCCGAUCUCGUCUGAUCUUGGAAGCUAAGCAGGGUCGGGCCUGGUUUGUACUUGGAUGGGAGACCGCCUGGGAAUUCCAGGUGCUGUAAGCU
rnacentral:rRNA from 1 species